CAACCGCGGGGCCUCCUGUGGUGGGGAGAGGCCGCCGGGUCCUCGGCGCCCCGCAGCGGUGGCGGGGAGCCCCGCCACCGAGGUUAAGACGUCUUUCCGUGCUUAGCUUCCCCCCGCCUUCUCUCUCCGGAUUCUUCGGCAAACGCCGCCUCUCCCUUCCCGUCCCGCGCGGGCCCCACGCGGAGCGGGGCGGAAGCAGCUUCCGGGCCCUUCGCGGGUGUGCGGGCGGCGCGGCCCUUCCGGCCCCGGCUGGCAGCGAACCGCGCGUGGGUCGGGGCACGUCCCCGGCGGCUGCCAAGAGCCCCGCUUUGUCUCCGGGGACCGCUGGGCCCCGCGUUCCCUCCUUCUUUCCCCGCCAGCCUCGCCUAGCUUCCAGGUGCUCCAGGAAGUGGCCGGAGCGGAGACUUGCGGCCUCAAAUGCCUCAGACGGGAGCCUGCCUUCUCCUGGUGAAGAAACAAGCCCAGAAAGGUGCUAGCAGCAAUAGUGAUGAAAUAAAAACUGAGACGCCAACUUUAAGGACGUGAGUCUAGAGCUAAACUGAGAUGGAUGGACCAAGAUGGAAUACACCCUGCAGUUUUCAAGAACGAUUCAGAACUUUGGGCACUAUUUGUCUGGAUUGCUGUUUUUAAUCUGAAGUUGUUUUUGCGAUAAUGUAACACUUAAAAAAGAAAAAAAAACCCUCAAGCAUACCCAAAUGUACAGGGUGGUAUAAUGAACCCCCCAUGUACUCACUACCCAAAUUAAAUUGCUAUAUUGAUUUUGUCA